GAUGAACGCUGGCGGCGUGCCUAAUACAUGCAAGUCGAGCGAACAGAUGAGGAGCUUGCUCCUCUGACGUUAGCGGCGGACGGGUGAGUAACACGUGGAUAACCUACCUAUAAGACUGGGAUAACUUCGGGAAACCGGAGCUAAUACCGGAUAAUAUAUUGAACCGCAUGGUUCAAUAGUGAAAGACGGUUUUGCUGUCACUUAUAGAUGGAUCCGCGCCGCAUUAGCUAGUUGGUAAGGUAACGGCUUACCAAGGCAACGAUGCGUAGCCGACCUGAGAGUGGGAUGGCCCACCCGAGAGCUGAGCCGGGCCCAAGGCUCCUGGGGUAGGGGCCAGGAGGCUUUGUGACCAAGGGGGGGGAAGCAUUGCGCAGCGCGCGCGAGUGAGAGGCGAAGACGUCGGGUUCGAAAAAAUUUGUUUUGGGGGAAAAACAGAUUUGAACUUAGACCAACCGUUUGUGACGGUACUUAAUAAAAAAGCACCGGCUAACUACGUG
rnacentral:rRNA from 1 species